UCCACCUGCUCACAGGUUGGCUGGCUCAACCAAGGUGGUGUCUGCUGCUCUGAGUAUCCAGGCCACGUCCACCGAGCACCAUGGCCAGGUACAGAUGCUGCCGCAGCCGCAGCCGCAGCCGCAGCCGCUGCUGCCGCCGGAGGCAACGCAGGUGCCGGCGGAGGCGACGAUGUAGGCGGAGGAGGAGGAGAGCGUGCCGCCGCCGCCGAUACUGUAUGAGGCGUACUAGAUGCAGAAAGUAGCUGAGUCCACCGAGACAUCUGCCGGAGAGUUCUACCAGACUUCCAAGACCCUCUUGCCGCAUCUGGAACGUGCCAGCAUCCCACUGAGUUAAAACAGGAGCCUGCUACCGAACAAUGCCACCUGUCAAUAAAUGUUGAAAACGCACACCCA